rnacentral:rRNA from 1 species
GACGAACGCUGGCGGCGUGCUUAACACAUGCAAGUCGAACGGAAAGGCGCUGCUUUUGUGGGGUGCUCGAGUGGCGAACGGGUGAGUAACACGUGAGUAACCUGCCCCUGACAUUGGGAUAACUUCAGGAAACUGGGGCUAAUACCGGAGAGGAGCUCCUGCUGCAUGGUGGGGGUUGGAAAGUUUCGGCGGUGGGGGAUGGACUCGCGGCUUAUCGGCCUGAUGGUCGAGUAGUGGCGUCCCAAGGCUUCGACGGGUAGCCGGCCUGAGAGGGUGGCCGGCCACCUUGCUCCUGCGGUACGGCCCAGUCGGCUACGUUCGGCAGUAGUGGGGAAUAUGGCGCAGUGGGCCCGCGCCUGAUACGACAACGCCGCGAGCGGGAUGCCGGCUUUCGGGUUAUGAACCGCUUUCUCCUGUGCCGAAGAGUGAGUGACGGUAAUUAGUAAGAAAGCCCCGGCUAACUACGUG